rnacentral:rRNA from 1 species
GUGUCAGCAGCCGCGGUAAUACGGGGGGAGCGAGCGUUGUCCGGAAUCACUGGGCGUAAAGGGUGUGUAGGCGUCCCGGUAAGUCUCUGGUGAAAGCCUUCCGCUCAACGGAAGAAUUGCCAGAGAUACUGUCGGGAUUGAGUCCGGGAGAGGGGAGCGGAAUUCCUGGUGUAGCGGUGAAAUGCGUAGAUAUCAGGAAGAACGCCAGAGGCGAAGGCGGCUCCCUGGCCCGGUACUGACGCUGAGGCACGAAAGCGUGGGGAGCGAACGGGAUUAGAUACCCCGGUAGUCCUGGCCGUAAACGAUGGAUGCUAGAUGUGGGCGGGGAGACCCGUCCGUGUCGCAAGCUAACGCGUUAAGCAUCCCGCCUGGGGAGUACGGCCGCAAGGUUGAAACUUAAAUGAAUUGACGGGG